UACAGAGGGUGCGAGCGUUAAUCGGAAUUACUGGGCGUAAAGCGUGCGUAGACGGUUAUUUAAGUCGGGUGUGAAAGCCCCGGGCUCAACCUGGGAAUUGCAUUCGAGACUGAAUAGCUAGGGUACGGUAGAGGGAAGCGGAAUUUCCGGUGUAGCGGUGAAAUGCGUAGAUAUGUGGAGGAACACCGAUGGCGAAGGCAGCCCCCUGGGCUAACACUGACGCUCAUGCACGAAAGCGUGGGGAGCAAACAGG
rnacentral:rRNA from 1 species